rnacentral:lncRNA from 10 species
GGUGGCCCUCCCCUCCCGGGAAGAAGCUGUGGAGCGGACCGCCCCCGCCUCUCUUCCCCGGCAGGGACCCUUCCCCCGCCGCCACGCGCCCCGCAGACCCCGCCACCUGGACACGGACCGGGCCAGUGCAGGCAGAGGCAACACCCUUUAGCUCCUUUUCUCUUCUCGCCUGGAAUUUAGUCAUGAAGUCUAGACUACAAUGGCCAUAUUGUGACCAAGAAGUUAGAAAUAUGGUAUGAGGAAAAGGCAAGACAACCCCAGAGAUGAGCCCUGAUUUCAAGUGGCCACUGAACCAAUACCAACAGCCAUCUACAACCAGGACUCCAUCUUCACCUCUUCUUCAGUCCUUUCUCUUGGAUGAAGUUCUCAGCAUCUCUCUGUGGGCCUGUGAAAGUGCGGAUACCAUCCAGGAUACCUGACCAGUUUCUACAACCAGACAUAUUCCUAGAUUCUCCUGUAGUUCUUAACUAGGAUCAAUCCACAGCUCUCUAGGCUGGGACCUGGUGGAAUGUAAGCUCCAUCAGGGAAGGGUCUUUUACUGAGCGUUUAUCACUGUAUUCCUAACACAUAGCACAAGCCUGUCACAUAGCAGGAGUUUAAUAAAUAUUUAUUAAAUGAAUAAUUGAACAAGAGUGCUUGACAACUUUCAUAACUUUCACCUACUCCAGGUUAUUGGACUCUUCUGUGGGCACUUAACCAUAGUCAUAGUCCUGCUUCUUCCAGGAUGGACCCUCUUAGAUCCAAGACCUUCUACCCACUUGUCACUGAAAGCUUCUAUGACCAGAGAUUCCUCAUUAUCCACCUGGGUGGGCCCAUGGACACCAGUGCCAGCCUUGACUAGGACAAAGAUUUCAAAUGUCCCUUUAGGCACUGCAGUGAUAGCUUUUUUAUACCCU